GAGGAAUAUUGGUCAAUGGGCGUAAGCCUGAACCAGCCAUCCCGCGUGAAGGAAGAAGGCGCUAUGCGUCGUAAACUUCUUUUCCAGAAGAAGAAAACCCCCGACGUGUCGGGGCUUGCCGGUACUCUGGGAAUAAGCAUCGGCUAACUCCGUGCCAGCAGCCGCGGUAAUACGGAGGAUGCGAGCGUUAUCCGGAUUUAUUGGGUUUAAAGGGUGCGUAGGCGGAUUAAUAAGUCAGUGGUGAAAACCUGCAGCUUAACUGUAGAAUUGCCAUUGAUACUGUUAGUCUUGAGUACGGUCAAGGUAGGCGGAAUGUGUAAUGUAGCGGUGAAAUGCUUAGAUAUUACACAGAACACCGAUUGCGAAGGCAGCUUACUGGGCCAUUACUGACGCUGAUGCACGAAAGCGUGGGGAGCGAAC
rnacentral:rRNA from 1 species